CCAAGUUUCUCUGAGUAGGUAGCCAAACCAUCAUGAGCUUUGGAGGUUUUCUCCUUCUCACGGAUGUCUUAUUAAAAGAAAAUUCACCAGCAUCUAGCAGAAAAGUACUGUUUUCCGUAUUUUAUCAUCUAAAGUGCCAUACGACUCAGACAUUGUAUCACCGACUUACGCCUCACAAAAGACAUAUCAGGAUGUUACUUCAGCAUGUCCACUGGAUACCUAGGUAUCCAGUAGGAUACUACGUAUCUGGAUAGAUCAAGGAUACUGAGAUGCUACGUAUCUCAGCAGAUCUGGUGGAGAAUUCCUUAAUUUACUGGAAAAGAAAGACUAAGCCAACAACUCUUUUAAAGACGGAAGAAAGAUCAGAUGGAUACAGUGACCAAAAAGCAAGUUUGGAAAAACCAGUGUUUGAACUAUUGCUCAGUUACUUCUCCUGAAGGCUGCAAGGGAAUCAGGCAGGGAAAAGAACAUCAUUUCAGACCAAUCGCGUUCCUAUGUGAGAGAACAAUCUGGAAAGUGUGGAUCUUGCCCAUGCUAGUUCACUGGUUUGCUGCUGAAGCUUUUCGUGGUGACCUUCUCUUUUUCAUUCUCGGAUGUGCUUCAUUCUGGCCACUUUUCUUGCCUAAAAAGCCCACGCCAAGUCUACAUGAGUGCCUGCACAAGGCCACCAAAAACAGUUAAUGAAAGACCCUAGGUUUGAAGAGAUUACAAGACAAGUCAUCAGAACAACCUGUGGGCAGUGUAAUGAAGCCUGGCAGUUAUCACAACUAUCACCGCUUUAAAAUAUUAAGUAUGAUACACAGUAGCAUCAAUUUUUAAAAUGUGGUCCUGGUAUUCCUGGCAGAUCCUGAGAUCUUUCUAGGAAGCCAAUGAGGUCUUCUUACUCCUCUGUGUGAUGAAAUGGAAGGCACUCACACUGGUCACAGUGGUCAUCUCAAGGAAAAGUACUUGUGCAUCUGAGUUGCAAGCUAAACUAGCAGCUCUUCUCCUGGAAUGCAUUUUUUUUUUUUUUUUUUUUUUUUUUUUUACAGAAAAGAAUGAACAAGUGUCAGAAAAGAAUGUUUAUUCAGACUUGGAUAUUUUAAAGACAUUUUAUCAAAAAUAAACUAAGUGAGCCUGCCACUUCAAAGAACACAACCGACAAAUUGUCGUCAAUAAUACUUGUCACGUUUCUAAGCAAAAAUCAGUUAGGAAGCUUCUGUCUACCAGCAUAAGCUUGACUUUUACCUAAUGUAUACUAUAAAACAUCCAGCCUCACACGGAUAUGUAGUGAGAAAAGGUGGAAGUAUUUUAAUAGCCUUUUAAGAUAAUUAGAUAGUUUAGAUAACUAAUAAUUUAGGAGAUAAUAAUUAUUCUCCUUUGAUACUGCACUAAAAACUGGCAUGUAGUAGUUUUUUAAAUAGUUGUUGGAAUGUGGAAUUUGAAGCCACAUAAGUGAUUUUUUUUUUUCUUUUUUGAGAUGGAGUCUCACUCUAUCUCCCAGGCUGAGUCUCACUCUAUCUCCCAGGCUGGAGUGCAGUGGCGCGAUCUUGGCUCAUUGCAACCUCUGCCUCCCAGGUUCAAGCCAUUCUCCUGCCUCAGCCUUCUGAGUAGCUGGGAUUACAGGCGUGUGCCACCACACCCAGCUAAUUUUUGUAUUUUUGGUAGAGAUGGGGUUUCACUAUGUUGGACAAACUGGUCUUGAACUCGUAACACCGCCCAGCGGUUGAUCUGCCUGCCUCGGCCUCCCAAAGUACUGGAAUUACAGGCGUGUGCCAUUGUGCCUGUCCAUAAGUGAUUUUUUUUCAUAUUUUAUUACAUUACUUCAUAUACUUCAACCAAACAACAUAUCACAACAUAUUGAAGGCAAAAGCAGAUACAAAAUUCGGUCAUUUUAUAUUAAAGCUGACUUUAAUUUAUAAAUUUAUAAAAGUAUAAAACAAUAUAUAUCUUCUCACUCAUUUUUAUUUUAAAAAUAGUUACUUUAUUAAAAUACGUUAUUUAUGUUAAUAUGUAAUAGGCUUAUAUUGUCAUAUUUGCAUGCAUUCAUAUAUAUUUUUAACUGUCUCAGUUUUAAUUGCUCAUACAGAACAUAAUUAGUAGAUAUAACCCAUACAAACAGAAGCUCUUUGGGGUCCUCAGUAGUUUUAAAGAGAGUAAAAGCAUUCUGUGAUCAAAAAGUUCAAAAACCAUUGCACUCUAACAAUCUUUGAGCUUGCAAAAAUUACCUCAAAAAGCCAUUUUCAGUAUGGAAUGAAUGGGUGUGAUGGCCCAGUUUCCAAUACCUACCGUCAUUUAGCCCCCAUUCCUUUUGAGCUAGUCCAGAGAGGUGUGGCUGGUAGGCAGAGAGUUGAGGCCUACAGAGCUCUGGUCAUUUAUCUAAAAUAUAGUUCUAACUCUAAAAUGGACAAAGGCUAAUAGCUGCACAUUUGUCCUAUAAGACAGAGCCCCAGUAUUAGGUGGUUGUGUGUAUCUCUUUUCCAUAGCAUCAACCCUGUAUCUCAGUGUAGGUAGCAUGUCAUCUUCUAGAAAGGUAACUUGAUACAGACCCAGGCUUGAAGAUAAGAGCGCCGGGUUCUCUUCUCAGACUCACCAUUAACCAGUCUUAUGACCUGAGCAGUCUCUCUCUCUGGACUUCAGUGUCCUUAUUCACAAAAGGCAGAUGUUUGGUAACAGGACCAUACGCUCUCUAAGAUAUUUUUCAACUUGGAAAUUCUAUGAAUCAAUUUGGAGAAAUAUUUGAAAGACAAUAAGAAUAACAGUUGACUUUUAUAUGGUAUUUUAUACUUGCUAAAUUACUUUUCCUUCCAAAUUCUUGGCUGGUGUUAAUUUCACGGCAAUUGAGAUUAAGGAUUCCAGAGGCGAUAGACUGGUAUUGAGUUCUGAUGUGUCACUAACCAGCUGUGUGGCCUUGAGUAGGUUAUUUAACCCAUCUACAGCUCAGAGAGUUGAUAAGGUGAUUAAAUGAGGUAAGGCAUGCACAGUAUUUAGAAUAGAUUCCGGCCUAUGUUACACACACAGUAACUAUUAUUAACACCUGAUUCAAUGUAUUGUAAUUGUAUGUUCACAUGUCUCUCUCCCCUCCUAGACUAUGAACUCCUUAUAGAUGAAGACCUCAUCCUGCUCAUCACUGCAUUCCUAGCAUAGUGCCUAGGUCAUAAUCAGUACUCAGUAAAUGCUCACUAAAUGGAAGAGUGGAUGACUUAUGUGAUAGUUUAAAUCAUUGUCCAGUAUAUAUUCAGUUCUCGAUACCUCCUUCUUUGGGCAGAGUUUAAUUUUCCAUGUUAUUUGGGUUGAUCCAUGAGAUUUCAGAGGGCUUAAAUGCACAUGUAUAGUUUGGCUUGAGUCUUGUGCUCUGAUGAUGAUAAUGGUGAUGAGGAUAAUCCAUGAGAAUUGUCAUCCAGAUAGCCAGUGCUUCUUUAGCAUGGGCCCCAGAAUGACAGAGACAGUGUAGCAGACAAUCAUGCUCUGAAGAACAGCCUUCUAGCCAGUACCACCCCUAAUCACAGACAGCUCUCCCAGGCAGUGCUGUAUUUCUUUCAUGGCAUCAUGUGAGAUUAAGCUGCCAGAAUUUUGCUGAUUUGGGGUGAACAGAAUUGUUUAUAUAUAGACAGGUCUCCACACGAAAUAUUCCUGUGUUGUCCAUACACUCCAAAAGCAGCCCUGCCAUGAGCCAAGGCCAUCCUAGACCACCUGAUAUUGACCUGAAGACUCAUGAAUACAAGAAUACAUGUCUGUUGCUAAAUGACUGAGAUUUGGGGAUGGUUUUAAAAAUGACAGUAAUGUGGCAAUCAUAGAUAGAUUGAUACAACUGUACAAUCUAUGAGGUAAUUGUUAUUGUUCUUCCCAUUUUAAAUGUGAGAAGAUUAACAAAGGGGAUAUCAUCUAGAAAGCACUUGUUCGCUAAUAAUAGAAAACAGCUCAAAUUGUUAUACAGGAUAAUAGAACCCAAAAAGGCAGAGGUAGUGCAAAGAGAGCUCCUGAUGAAGCUGAGCCAGUGGGUCCCCAGGGUCACCAGGAUCCCAUUUCUAUGUAUCUAUUCAUAUUGCCUUUUGCCAUGACAGUUUCUUCUUCGAGCUGCUAUGGGCUCAUCUGUGCAUAUUUGCACAGGCAGAGUUCCUAGAGCCUGUACCAUCUCUACAAGGUCCUCAAGACUCACUCUGAGCAGACCCUCUAGGGUCAACACCAGUCCUUAUCCAUUCCCAAUUCUACCCUGUGUAUGUGUGUUUUUAAUCAUCACUCACUUAUUUAACAAAUAUUUAUUGAGUGCCUUCUCUGUCAGGUACUUUUCUAUGUAGUGGGAAUACACUAUUGAAUGAGGCAGGAAUAGUCACUGUGCACGCGGGAGUUACAUACUCUAUAUUGUAUAUAAUAAUACAGACAAAUAGGCUAGGGAGAGAGGGAGCUAGAUAAUUAUAUAUACAGAAACCUAAUGAUGGCUAUCAUUUACCAAGACCAAAAGCAGGCAUUAUGCCAGAGGUUUUUAAUUCAAUCUUCAAAAUAAUGUUACAAGAUAAGACUUAUUGUUCACAUUUUUAUCAUUAACAAAAUGGUACACAGCAAAAAUGAGUAAUUUACUAGGCUCAAACAACAAGGCUAAAUUUAUAAUUUUUUGUUACUCAUCUGCCAUGCACAUUGCCUGUCAUACAUGAAAAAUCCUGUUCCUCUUUGGAUUAACUAUAAUUCCCAUACCAAAUGAUGUUAGAAUAAACUAUCCUUUAUUAAUUUUAUUAAUUUAGCUAAAUCCCUUAGAAUGCUUUGGCUAAAUACAAAGUGCUUAGAACCUCAUUUAUUAAUCAAUUUUUCAAAAAUAAAACAUUUUCUGUAUCUGUAGAUACUACAUGUAUAUCAUUGGUG
rnacentral:lncRNA from 10 species